rnacentral:rRNA from 1 species
GAUGAACGCUGGCGGCGUGCCUAAUACAUGCAAGUCGAGCGAACAGACGAGGAGCUUGCUCCUCUGACGUUAGCGGCGGACGGGUGAGUAACACGUGGAUAACCUACCUAUAAGACUGGGAUAACUUCGGGAAACCGGAGCUAAUACCGGAUAAUAUAUUGAACCGCAUGGUUCAAUAGUGAAAGACGGUUUUGCUGUCACUUAUAGAUGGAUCCGCGCCGCAUUAGCUAGUUGGUAAGGUAACGGCUUACCAAGGCAACGAUGCGUAGCCGACCUGAGAGGGUGAUCGGCCACACUGGAACUGAAACACGGUCCAGACUCCUACGGGAGGCAGCAGUAGGGAAUCUUCCGCAAUGGGCGAAAGCCUGACGGAGCAACGCCGCGUGAGUGAUGAAGGUCUUCGGAUCGUAAAACUCUGUUAUUAGGGAAGAACAAAUGUGUAAGUAACUAUGCACGUCUUGACGGUACCUAAUCAGAAAGCCACGGCUAACUACGUG